rnacentral:rRNA from 1 species
AGCUGGUUCUCUCCGAAAUAGCUUUAGGGCUAGCCUCAAGUGAUGAUUAUUGGAGGUAGAGCACUGUUUGGACGAGGGGCCCCUCUCGGGUUACCGAAUUCAGACAAACUCCGAAUGCCAAUUAAUUUAACUUGGGAGUCAGAACAUGGGUGAUAAGGUCCGUGUUCGAAAGGGAAACAGCCCAGACCACCAGCUAAGGUCCCAAAAUAUAUGUUAAGUGGAAAAGGAUGUGGCGUUGCCCAGACAACUAGGAUGUUGGCUUAGAAGCAGCCAUCAUUUAAAGAGUGCGUAAUAGCUCACUAGUCGAGUGACACUGCGCCGAAAAUGUACCGGGGCUAAACAUAUUACCGAAGCUGUGGAUUGUCCUUUGGACAAUGGUAGGAGAGCGUUCUAAGGGCGUCGAAGCAUGAUCGCAAGGACAUGUGGAGCGCUUAGAAGUGAGAAUGCCGGUGUGAGUAGCGAAAGACGGGUGAGAAUCCCGUCCACCGAUUGACUAAGGUUUCCAGAGGAAGGCUCGUCCGCUCUGGGUUAGUCGGGUCCUAAGCUGAGGCCGACAGGCGUAGGCGAUGGAUAACAGGUUGAUAUUCCUGUACCACCUAGUAUCGUUUUAAUCGAUGGGGGGACGCAGUAGGAUAGGCGAAGCGUGCUGUUGGAGUGCACGUCCAAGCAGUAAGGCUGAGUGUUAGGCAAAUCCGGCACUCAUAAGGCUGAGCUGUGAUGGGGAGAGGAAAUUGUUUCCUCGAGUCGUUGAUUUCACACUGCCGAGAAAAGCCUCUAGAUAGAUAACAGGUGCCCGUACCGCAAACCGACACAGGUAGUCAAGAUGAGAAUUCUAAGGUGAGCGAGCGAACUCUCGUUAAGGAACUCGGCAAAAUGACCCCGUAACUUCGGGAGAAGGGGUGCUCUUUAGGGUUCACGCCCAGAAGAGCCGCAGUGAAUAGGCCCAAGCGACUGUUUAUCAAAAACACAGGUCUCUGCUAAACCGUAAGGUGAUGUAUAGGGGCUGACGCCUGCCCGGUGCUGGAAGGUUAAGAGGAGUGGUUAGCUUCUGCGAAGCUACGAAUCGAAGCCCCAGUAAACGGCGGCCGUAACUAUAACGGUCCUAAGGUAGCGAAAUUCCUUGUCGGGU